UCGUGUCGUGAGAUGUUGGGUUAAGUCCCGUAACGAGCGCAACCCCUAUCCUUGGUUGCUAGCAGGUAAUGCUGAGAACUCCAGGGAGACUGCCGGUGACAAACCGGAGGAAGGUGGGGAUGACGUCAGGUCAUCAUGGCCCUUACGGCCAGGGCUACACACGUGCUACAAUGGUGCGCACAGAGGGCUGCAAACCCGCGAGGGGGAGCCAAUCUCACAAAACGCAUCGUAGUCCGGAUCGCAGUCUGCAACUCGACUGCGUGAAGUCGGAAUCGCUAGUAAUCGCGAAUCAGAAUGUCGCGGUGAAUACGUUCCCGGGUCUUGUACACACCGAA
rnacentral:rRNA from 1 species